rnacentral:rRNA from 1 species
GCAAGUCGAGCGCUCACCUUCGGGUGGGUGCGGCGGACGGGUUAGUAACGCGUGGGAAUAUACCCUUCUCUACGCAAUAGCCUCGGGAAACUGAGAGUAAUACCGUAUACGCCCUUCGGAGGAAAGAUUUAUCGGAGAAAGAUUAGCCCGCGUUGGAUUAGAUAGUUGGUGGGGUAAUGGCCUACCAAGUCUACGAUCCAUAGCUGGUUUGAGAGGAUGAUC